rnacentral:misc_RNA from 1 species
AACGCACCUUGCACUCCUUGGUAUUCUGAGGAGUAUGCCUGUUUGAGUGUCGUGGAAUAUCUCACAUUGUGCCAGGUUUGACCAUGUUUUAAUACGUGUGUCUCCAGGAAUGCAUGUGGAAGUGGAGGCUUGUGCUGGAGAAUAAAGGGACCCCCCCUCGUUUCUAACAAGGGGGCGUGGGCCCUUCUUUCAGCUCCUCUGAAAAUCAUUAGCACCAAUGUUACCAUAGUGCUGCCGUCCUCAGUGUGAUAAUCAUGUCUGCGCUGUGGGGUGUGGUGCUGCUGUGUGUGUGUGCUUCUAAUGGUCCCCCCUCAUGGGGACAAUAAACAAUUCCUGUUUGACAUUUGACCUCAAAUCAGGUAGGACUACCCGCUGAACUUAA